AUGGUAGUGUGGUCAAAAGAUGUCGGAAGACAGUGCAUUUUGCUUUCCUUCUUGUUCCUUUCCUCAUUUUAUGCUGAUGAGUGCUACCGUAGUACAAUUAUUAAUCGGUCUUUGGAGUUUACUGCUCCUGGAAAUUGCUGGCUCUCCCAUGUUAUUUUUGUAUUGCAAUUUUCUUCUACUAAUGUGGCAGAUCUAGUUUCUGUUUGCCUGUUCUAUAUGUACCGAAGCAGUUCAUUUAUUACGAAAAAGCAGUUUAUUUUCCCAUGUUAUAUCUCCGUUGGGGCAGGAUUGAUGUUUGGCACUAAUAUUUUCAUUUGCGUAUUUGUAUUGUGUAAGCGUGGUAGCAAAUCGUAUACUGAGCAUCUUAUUUUUAUCUAG
rnacentral:rRNA from 1 species